rnacentral:rRNA from 1 species
UUAAGCGACUAAGCGUACACGGUGGAUGCCCUGGCAGUCAGAGGCGAUGAAGGACGUGCUAAUCUGCGAAAAGCGUCGGUAAGGUGAUAUGAACCGUUAUAGCCGGCGAUGUCCGAAUGGGGAAACCCAGUGUGAUUCGUCACACUAUCGUUAACUGAAUACAUAGGUUAACGAGGCGAACCGGGGGAACUGAAACAUCUAAGUACCCCGAGGAAAAGAAAUCAACCGAGAUUCCCCCAGUAGCGGCGAGCGAACGGGGAGCAGCCCAGAGUCUGAAUCAGCUUGUGUGUUAGUGGAACGGUCUGGAAAGUCCGACGGUACAGGGUGAUAGUCCCGUACACCAAAAUGCACAGGUUGUGAACUCGAAGAGUAGGGCGGGACACGUGGUAUCCUGUCUGAAUAUGGGGGGACCAUCCUCCAAGGCUAAAUACUCCUGACUGACCGAUAGUGAACCAGUACCGUGAGGGAAAGGCGAAAAGAACCCCGGCGAGGGGAGUGAAAAAGAACCUGAAACCGUGUACGUACAAGCAGUGGGAGCACCUUCGGGUGUGACUGCGUACCUUUUGUAUAAUGGGUCAGCGACUUAUAUUCUGUAGCAAGGUUAACCGUAUAGGGGAGCCGCAGGGAAACCGAGUCUUAACUGGGCGUUAAGUUGCAGGGUAUAGACCCGAAACCCGGUGAUCUAGCCAUGGGCAGGUUGAAGGUUGGGUAACACUAACUGGAGGACCGAACCGACUAAUGUUGAAAAAUUAGCGGAUGACUUGUGGCUGGGGGUGAAAGGCCAAUCAAACCGGGAGAUAGCUGGUUCUCCCCGAAAGCUAUUUAGGUAGCGCCUCGUGAACUCAUCUUCGGGGGUAGAGCACUGUUUCGGCUAGGGGGUCAUCCCGACUUACCAACCCGAUGCAAACUACGAAUACCGAAGAAUGUUAUCACGGGAGACACACGGCGGGUGCUAACGUCCGUCGUGAAGAGGGAAACAACCCAGACCGCCAGCUAAGGUCCCAAAGUCAUGGUUAAGUGGGAAACGAUGUGGGAAGGCACAGACAGCCAGGAUGUUGGCUUAGAAGCAGCCAUCAUUUAAAGAAAGCGUAAUAGCUCACUGGUCGAGUCGGCCUGCGCGGAAGAUGUAACGGGGCUAAACCAUGCACCGAAGCUGCGGCAGCGACACUAUGUGUUGUUGGGUAGGGGAGCGUUCUGUAAGCCUGCGAAGGUGACCUGUGAGGGUUGCUGGAGGUAUCAGAAGUGCGAAUGCUGACAUAAGUAACGAUAAAGCGGGUGAAAAGCCCGCUCGCCGGAAGACCAAGGGUUCCUGUCCAACGUUAAUCGGGGCAGGGUGAGUCGACCCCUAAGGCGAGGCCGAAAGGCGUAGUCGAUGGGAAACAGGUUAAUAUUCCUGUACUUGGUGUUACUGCGAAGGGGGGACGGAGAAGGCUAUGUUAGCCGGGCGACGGUUGUCCCGGUUUAAGCAUGUAGGCUGAUUGUCCAGGCAAAUCCGGAUAAUCAAGGCUGAGGUGUGAUGACGAGGCACUACGGUGCUGAAGUAACAAAUGCCCUGCUUCCAGGAAAAGCCUCUAAGCAUCAGGUAACAUUAAAUCGUACCCCAAACCGACACAGGUGGUCAGGUAGAGAAUACCAAGGCGCUUGAGAGAACUCGGGUGAAGGAACUAGGCAAAAUGGUGCCGUAACUUCGGGAGAAGGCACGCUGGUGUGUAGGUGAAGUCCCUGCGGAUGGAGCUGAGACCAGUCGAAGAUACCAGCUGGCUGCAACUGUUUAUUAAAAACACAGCACUGUGCAAACACGAAAGUGGACGUAUACGGUGUGACGCCUGCCCGGUGCCGGAAGGUUAAUUGAUGGGGUUAUCCGUAAGGAGAAGCUCUUGAUCGAAGCCCCGGUAAACGGCGGCCGUAACUAUAACGGUCCUAAGGUAGCGAAAUUCCUUGUCGGGUAAGUUCCGACCUGCACGAAUGGCGUAAUGAUGGCCAGGCUGUCUCCACCCGAGACUCAGUGAAAUUGAACUCGCUGUGAAGAUGCAGUGUACCCGCGGCAAGACGGAAAGACCCCGUGAACCUUUACUAUAGCUUGACACUGAACAUUGAGCCUUGAUGUGUAGGAUAGGUGGGAGGCUUUGAAGCGUGGACGCCAGUCUGCGUGGAGCCAACCUUGAAAUACCACCCUUUAAUGUUUGAUGUUCUAACGUUGGCCCCUGACCGGGGUUGCGGACAGUGUCUGGUGGGUAGUUUGACUGGGGCGGUCUCCUCCCAAAGCGUAACGGAGGAGCACGAAGGUUAGCUAAUCCUGGUCGGACAUCAGGAGGUUAGUGCAAUGGCAUAAGCUAGCUUGACUGCGAGCGUGACGGCGCGAGCAGGUGCGAAAGCAGGUCAUAGUGAUCCGGUGGUUCUGAAUGGAAGGGCCAUCGCUCAACGGAUAAAAGGUACUCCGGGGAUAACAGGCUGAUACCGCCCAAGAGUUCAUAUCGACGGCGGUGUUUGGCACCUCGAUGUCGGCUCAUCACAUCCUGGGGCUGAAGUAGGUCCCAAGGGUAUGGCUGUUCGCCAUUUAAAGUGGUACGCGAGCUGGGUUUAGAACGUCGUGAGACAGUUCGGUCCCUAUCUGCCGUGGGCGCUGGAGAAUUGAGGGGGGCUGCUCCUAGUACGAGAGGACCGGAGUGGACGCAUCACUGGUGUUCGGGUUGUCAUGCCAAUGGCACUGCCCGGUAGCUAAAUGCGGAAGAGAUAAGUGCUGAAAGCAUCUAAGCACGAAACUUGCCCCGAGAUGAGUUCUCCCUGAGACUAUAAGUCUCCUGAAGGAACGUUGAAGACGACGACGUUGAUAGGCCGGGUGUGUAAGCGCAGCGAUGCGUUGAGCUAACCGGUACUAAUGAACCGUGAGGCUUAACCUU